AUUCCAUAAAACCCUAGCUAACAAAACCCCCGUACUCGUCAUUGGUGAGUUCGUCGUUCUUUCAAAUUAAUUGCUUUCAGGCUGUAAACUUUUGGUUGGUUGAAGUUCUACAUUCGUUGAAUCUCCGGUGAAAAUGAGUCGGCCAAUGGAAGAAGAUGCUCCGGCAAAGAAUGAGGAGGAGGAGUUCAACACUGGUCCACUUUCUGUCUUGAUGUUGAGUGUUAAGAAUAACACACAGGUGCUCAUCAGCUGCCGUAACAACAAAAAGCUUCUGGGCCAUGUGAGGGCUUUUGAUCGCCACUGCAACAUGGUCCUCGAAAAUGUCCGGGAGAUGUGGACUGAGGUGCCUAAGACUGGUAAAGGCAAAAAGAAAGCUCUUCCAGUUAACAAGGAUCGUUUUAUUAGCAAGAUGUUCCUCCGAGGGGAUUCCGUGAUCAUUGUCCUCAGAAAUCCCAAGUGAUGGGUGGAAUUACUCUGAAUGUAGUGUGAGCUUAUUUCUAUUUUGAGCAUAUGAGGCCUGCAGCUUAUCGAUGAUGAUGAGGUUUAUCUUUCUUAGAUGUACUUUAGGCUUCCAACCCAGCAAUGUGUUUUCCUUGGAGGCGUCAGGUCCCCUUUUUUUUCUGGGAUCAUCGUCUGUGUUCGGUCUGAACCCUAUUUUAGCAUCUGAAUUUAUAAUUUCUUCAACUAUUUGCACAGGAUGAGUAGCUCGAGUUGUAAUAAAUUUCAUGAAGCAUGUUAAGAAGCUGUCUCAUUGCAUCACUGUGUUUGAACUAUAAGUUUGAUCUCGUAGGCAUAAUGAUAGGGAGGUUACAUUAUUUUUGAGUUGAAAUGCGGAUUUGGAAUCAAUGAUUCAUAGGAUUAUGCUA